UUUAUGGAGAGUUUGAUCCUGGCUCAGGAUGAACGCUGGCGGCGUGCCUAAUACAUGCAAGUCGAGCGAACGGACGAGAAGCUUGCUUCUCUGAUGUUAGCGGCGGACGGGUGAGUAACACGUGGAUAACCUACCUAUAAGACUGGGAUAACUUCGGGAAACCGGAGCUAAUACCGGAUAAUAUUUUGAACCGCAUGGUUCAAAAGUGAAAGACGGUCUUGCUGUCACUUAUAGAUGGAUCCGCGCUGCAUUAGCUAGUUGGUAAGGUAACGGCUUACCAAGGCAACGAUGCAUAGCCGACCUGAGAGGGUGAUCGGCCACACUGGAACUGAGACACGGUCCAGACUCCUACGGGAGGCAGCAGUAGGGAAUCUUCCGCAAUGGGCGAAAGCCUGACGGAGCAACGCCGCGUGAGUGAUGAAGGUCUUCGGAUCGUAAAACUCUGUUAUUAGGGAAGAACAUAUGUGUAAGUAACUGUGCACAUCUUGACGGUACCUAAUCAGAAAGCCACGGCUAACUACGUGCCAGCAGCCGCGGUAAUACGUAGGUGGCAAGCGUUAUCCGGAAUUAUUGGGCGUAAAGCGCGCGUAGGCGGUUUUUUAAGUCUGAUGUGAAAGCCCACGGCUCAACCGUGGAGGGUCAUUGGAAACUGGAAAACUUGAGUGCAGAAGAGGAAAGUGGAAUUCCAUGUGUAGCGGUGAAAUGCGCAGAGAUAUGGAGGAACACCAGUGGCGAAGGCGACUUUCUGGUCUGUAACUGACGCUGAUGUGCGAAAGCGUGGGGAUCAAACAGGAUUAGAUACCCUGGUAGUCCACGCCGUAAACGAUGAGUGCUAAGUGUUAGGGGGUUUCCGCCCCUUAGUGCUGCAGCUAACGCAUUAAGCACUCCGCCUGGGGAGUACGACCGCAAGGUUGAAACUCAAAGGAAUUGACGGGGACCCGCACAAGCGGUGGAGCAUGUGGUUUAAUUCGAAGCAACGCGAAGAACCUUACCAAAUCUUGACAUCCUUUGACAACUCUAGAGAUAGAGCCUUCCCCUUCGGGGGACAAAGUGACAGGUGGUGCAUGGUUGUCGUCAGCUCGUGUCGUGAGAUGUUGGGUUAAGUCCCGCAACGAGCGCAACCCUUAAGCUUAGUUGCCAUCAUUAAGUUGGGCACUCUAAGUUGACUGCCGGUGACAAACCGGAGGAAGGUGGGGAUGACGUCAAAUCUCAUCAUGCCCCUUAUGAUUUGGGCUACACACGUGCUACAAUGGACAAUACAAAGGGCAGCGAAACCGCGAGGUCAAGCAAAUCCCAUAAAGUUGUUCUCAGUUCGGAUUGUAGUCUGCAACUCGACUACAUGAAGCUGGAAUCGCUAGUAAUCGUAGAUCAGCAUGCUACGGUGAAUACGUUCCCGGGUCUUGUACACACCGCCCGUCACACCACGAGAGUUUGUAACACCCGAAGCCGGUGGAGUAACCUUUUAGGAGCUAGCCGUCGAAGGUGGGACAAAUGAUUGGGGUGAAGUCGUAACAAGGUAGCCGUAUCGGAAGGUGCGGCUGGAUCACCUCCUUUCU
rnacentral:rRNA from 1 species